ACUUCGCAGAUGCUCAUCACUUCACCCUCCCUCGCGCGCGCUCAUUUUCUGUUUUUCCCUGUUACCACCCCCACCCCCACCUCUCCCUUCCUUCCUCUCCCAACACACGAAGGCAGCGCACGCACAACUGUGCCCCUGUACGCACGUGUGCGUCGUGUGUGUGUGUGCGAGAUAGAUAGAGAGAGAGCGAUUUCAGCGAGUGUGCGAAUAGGGUGCGCGUGCAUGUCGACGCGCAUCCCUGCCUGACACCCCUUAAUCUCGGCGCAUACACACACACACACACACACACACACCUAUCACUGCUGCCCCCCUCCUCUUUUUCGGGUGGUCAUCUCCCAUCUGCCGCAUCCAGGAAGCGUUUUUCUGCUUUUGCCUUGCUUCCUUUCACUCGCGUUACGCGUCCCUCAUUCCCCCCUUUUUUUCGUUGUGUCGUCGAGCGACGGCGUAGACACUCUGAUUUCCCCCUCUCCCCCCUCUUGUGCACGCGGGGGUAAGACCAGCCACGAACAAAAAAGACGGAAGCAAGCGGGCGGCCAUCCCACCUCCGCGACGGCCUCACGGCAACAAGAGAGUGCGACAUCGAGAAGAGCGAGGAGGGGCUAAAAAACAAAACAAGAAGGUACACACACACACACUCAGUUCCUCUCCGUGCACUCUGCCUUAUCAUUGGCUCUCUUCCGCUCUCCCUAUCCGUCCUCACUCACGCUGCAGCGCGCGCAGGCAGGCAGACAGGCGUGCGUGCGUGUGUGUGUGUGUGUAGGGGACUCUUGUUCUCGUCCUCGUUUUGCUUUGCCUAAGCGCACUGGCAACUCUUCUGCUUCUCGGCCUCCCCUUACCUCCCGCCUUAACAAAAUAUCUUUUCCCCUCUGUUUAUGCUGAACGAACUCACGCACCGACACCCCCCCCCCCCCCCCGCACCGAGGCCAGCGUCACGCUCGAACUCGUACGCGCCUUCGUUUACUUGUGUGCCCUUCUCAGAGAAAGCGAAGAGUGUCCGUGCUUUUGUGUGUGCGUGUGUGCUCCUCCAUUUUUUUUUCCUUCCUUUGGUGCCUGCCUGCACAUCCAGCCCCCUCCCGGCCCUUCCACCACCCCUCCCUCCGUUUUCGCUCUCCGUUCUCUCUCUGUCUGUCUGCGUGUGGAGCUGAAUCCCUCCGGUUCUUCGAUCCUUCCGCUCGUUGACGUGUGCCCCGCGUGGGCACCUGCUUCGCGUGUCUUUCACUUUUUUUUUCUGAAGCCUCGCCACUCGCCACUCCUUCUGGUUGGCUCUCGUGCCCUCGACAAGGCUUCGCGUCUCUGAUAUCUCCACUCUCUUCCUUCUUUGUUUGUGCGUGUCUGUGUGUGUGUGUGCCGGGCUCCCGCCCUCCCUCUGGCUGCACUCUUGCUUUAAAAGCCGUUUCCUUCCUCCCCUCCCGCCGGUGCUUGCUGUUCCGUAUACACAGACAUAACCACAGCGAGGCCCUCUUGGUUUCCUGCUGAGCUGUCCAUUCCCUUUCUCUGUGCCGCUCAUUGCUUGUCCUCUUGUGGUGCUGCCCUUGAAAGGGUCAUAGACGACAGCACGCACAUCACACGUGUAUCUGCUCCGGCUGCGGCUGCCCUCUCUCUACAUCUUUCGUUGACUUGGGGACAAGGCGCGUUGGGGUGGCGCAGGCCUCUCUGCCGAUUCCGAGCUGUACCGCAGCGGGGCAGAGGCACCACGUCUUCUCCCAUGCAGUCACUGACCUCAUCCGGCGUGAUUGGCCGCUCGAUGUCGGCCAGGAAGACCCCUGCCCCCAUUUCACUGCGAGAAGACGUGGGCAGCCUCCGUGCUGGUGGCGCUCGCACGAGUGCGGCAAGGGAAGGACCAGGCAGCACUGCGCGGCCUGCUUCAGCCAGAACAGCUUCUCUGACCACGUUGGGUAAGGCUGCGGCCAGAGCGGCGGUUGGUAAUGAGGCAAGCGGUUUCUGCCGGAGCUCAUCACGCGGCAGCGGCAGUGCGGGUCGAUGCAGCCCGCAACGGUUUGGACACGGCGUUGGUGAGCAGCAAGUCCGCCCUCGCUCGACGGUCACGCUGGACUCACCGAAUCAGCACCUCUCUCCCGCUCCACACGAGUCUUUGGGAGGAGUAUCGACCACCGCCGCUCCACCAACGUCAAGCGACGCCCGCACAGGCGCGUUCCCGGCGACUCGUGAAGCGCCCAAGCGAUCAAAGGUACAAAUUCGGAGCAUUCGCGUGCGCAGUGCGCCCGAUGAGCCAUCAGGGCCGACGCGGCCCGUUGCCGGCAGGGACACCGCACCACCGCACCAGCAAUGCCAACUUUCGAAGUCUGCCGAAGCGACCACCGCGUCGGCGCCUGCGCGCAUCUUUUCCGCCGCGGCGACGAUUACGUCGAGCCCGCCAGCACACACAAGCACGACCAGCUCCGCAGUGUCCAUACCACGCUCUCGCACUGCUCGCACCUCGGCCUCCUUGGAGGCAUUUUUGCUGAGCUUCCAGAACUGCCUCCACAGACAAGAGAUUUUGUUUCAGCGUGUCGACACCGCAGUCGCCCAACUCGAGAGUGCGUGCGUCAACGCCUGCGGUGCGACGGUUUCCCCGCCUUCCUCGGCCCCGACAGCACCGUCCCAGACAGCCUCUCUUUGGGGCAGCGGCUCGCGGCCGCAGUACGUGUUGCCAUCGCACAUAUCUUCCUGCCCCCCCGCGGCGGCCGCGGCCGGUGCGUCGCCGACGCGACCUAACAAGACUGUAACCUUUCCAGGUGCUGUUACCGGAGCAAGGCGCAGCGACGGCGCCAAUGACAUUGCCAGCUCUAACAUGCACACGGACGGCGCGCCGGUGCUCUCUGUCUCUUCCUCCCAGCAGGAGCUGCCGGUCACCGACGCUUCUCACCACGCGCAGCGGCAUCCGCCGAGCCAGAGCACGGGGUCUUCGACUCUUUCACUGUCCGUUGUCGUGAUGCAGCCCGCGUUGGAGCGCGUGGGCGGCAACGACGGCGGGUCGCCGAUGGUGUGUGCCUUCGCUCAAGGCCUCCUAUCCCCGCCCCAGCAGACGUCGCCGCUCCUCACGUUGCCGACCUACGUUCGGCUUGACGGCGCGGCACUGACACCGACCUCGGCGGCGCCAACUAGGCUCUCUCAUCCACACCCCCUGUUUCCUUGCUCGAUGCCGGGGACACCGCUGUCGCCGGCUCGGUUGGCCACCACGCAGCAGCAACUCCCCACGAGCAACACCGGGUGCACAGGCAGCCUGCCACUGAACACAAAGGUGACGUCUCUGGUGACCGAAUCCCCGCCCAUCUCCGGCAGCGGAGGGGCACUGGGCAGGCAGCAAUACCCAGCGGCGGACGCGGAGAUCAUCGCAGGUGACCCAGUCACGGAAGCCCCUAUGCUGCCCGCGCCUGCCGAAGGAACGGAUGCACACGAGGCAGCCGCGCCGUGUGGCGUGGCGAGCACUGCCGCGGAGAACACCGCACCUGAGGAUGCGGAGGAGAGCGCCGGGGGUAGACGAAAAGGCGCUGCUGCGACCGAGUCGUCCAGUGACGAGAGCGCCUCCGCUUCUCCGAUUGUGCACAGUGCGCAGAUGCCCUACCUCACCACCACCAUUUCUGGCGCAGACCAGAGCUUUAACAGCGGCUGCGGCGGCGCAGGGAGCGAUGGCGUGCCGACGUGGUCCAGCGCCCCGCCUGGGCACGCGAAGAUCGGAAACCUUCGCAUCGGCGGCAUUCCCGACUCCUCCGUGAUAAGCGUCUUCAGCGAGAGCGCGGACAGCGUGUCGCUCUCGCCCCUCUCGCGCCCGCCGUCGAUUUGGGUAGGUAGCCCGAGGACGCGAAGCAAUCUCGGUCCGACGUCGCCGCAUCAAGCGCAGCUGUCGCUGCAACAGCACUCCUCGCUUGGCGGUAGCAGCAUCAGCACAGCAUGGAUUUCACCCCGCCGUGUGCCGAACAGCCACAACAGCCGCAGCAGCAGCAACGCCGCUGGGGCGACGCAGGCAUCGGCGAACCGGUCCCCCCGCACAGUGGCCGCGUUGGAGAACCCGCGACACGCGUCGACGGCGGUGAACUCCGCCAGCUCUCUACCGUCGAUGAGUCAACAGCAACCGCAGCAGCGCAGCUCAGGGGACCUGCUCUCGCCCUUGUCCGGGCAGUGGCUGUUGUCGCCCUCCCCGACACCAACAGUUUCGCGGCGUGCGAGUGGCGUGGCGCACCGCAGUAGCGUCCAGAUGACCUCUGUCAACUUGUCAGGCAGCGGCACCCAGAACAUCGGCGGCAACAACAGCAGCGGCAACGCUGGUGGGCUGGCAACGGUGAUGUCAUCCGCUACAGUGGAGGGGAACGUCGUCUCCAGCCUUUCCUCAACGUCUCCUCUGGUGCCGCCGUGCUUUCCUGACAGCGGCGGCGUUGUCACGGGUGCGACUCAAGCAGUGACGUCGCCGAUAACCGCCUGUCGCCAACUCACCCUAUCGUCAUCGCCGUCGGCUGAGGAAGCCGAUCGCGAUGACUCCUUUCAGGAAACCUCGCUGCGGUCGCCCAUUGGCCUGGCCGAGGAGGCGGACGACGAAGACGCGCAGCAGCUGCAACAGCUGGCAAACCGCUACGCCCCGCCACCGCCACCACCGUCGUUGACAGAGUUGCAGCAGCAGCAGAACCAGCGCCGUCGCUGGAGUGCGCCACCAGUGCCCACCAUGAGACGUCCUCCCAUGGCACCUCUGCGUCAUCCCGACGCUGCCUGCCCGGCAGCGCUUCGGAAUGAGGAGGAGCGGCUGCGCAGCUCCACGCCACCGGUUGCGAGGCCAGAGCAGUGGCUGUCGUUUGAGCAGCAGCACGAGCGGCUGCACCUGCCCGAGUGCUGGCGUGAUAGCGAGGUGAUCGUCGUCGACCAUGUGGAGAAGGACAGGGAACGUGAUUCCGAGGAGGCAGAGCGGCUGCUAGAGCUGGAGGAGGAGCUGCUGAGAGAGCUGCGGCAAAACCAGUCAGACCGGAUGGACGGCGACGGUCUACUUCGGCGGGGCCGGCGACGGGGAAGUCGGCACAGGCACUUGAUGGCAGACGCCAACGCCGCCGGCGAGACGAUAGACGAGGAGGAGCUUGAUUGGGGCGAUGACUCAGCCGAUGGGGCCGCGGCGGACGCUGCCUACGAAGCACGCCUGGCGCGCUACGGCAGAGCGAUGUUGCUGCACCGACGCGGCCGCUCUAGCGCCUCGCUGCACCGCGACGGCGGCGAGGGGUGCUCGUGCGGCAGCUGCCCAUCUGCCACGAGCUGGUGUUGCCGGCGCCGACCCGUUAGCGGAGGAGACCGGCAGGGCUUCCCCUCUGACGCCACCGCCUCGUUGAGAGGGGCGCCCAGCGGUGAGAGCACCACCCUCCCAGCUGCCACGGGCGCUCCUUCAGGCUCGCCCGUGCUACCCAUGCGCAACUUCAGCCGUCGUCACUCAGCCCCGGCGACCAUCUGGGGCGCCGACCACGGGACAGGGUGGCGUGACCUGCAGGCACGUUUUGAAGAGCUCAUCAGUAUUCAGCAGCGCAGUCGCGGAAGUGAGCGGGAUGGCGCCGAUGGCACAACUCUUGACGAGCAGUCGUUAUCCACACUGGCGAACAACACGGCCUCCAGUCCCAUGAAAGAAGGUCUCGCCAGCGGUAUAUCACGUCGCCGUCGCAGCCGCAGCUUUAGCCACGAAGUCACCGCCUGCCCGCCAGAUGCGGUGGACAGGCGGGCACAGAGCGCCUCUCCUCCGACGGGCGACCUCAGCAGUUCCUACCGCGACAACAUGCCGCAUGACGGCGACGGGAACAGUGGUUUGCCUGCUCCAUCUCCGCACGCUGCUGCUGCGGCACCGACGCCGCUCGAGCGGACACACACCCACCCGGGCUCAAGCGGCUACCGCCGCGUCCAGUGGGGGAGGGAAGCUGAAGCCGAUGCGGCGCCGUCGCCGCCCUCGCAGGCACCCGAAAAGCAGCGCAUCUCUUCCGCCGCUCUCUCUCCAUACUCAUCCACUCCUCCGUCGCCGUCAGAGCAGGACGGCACGCUAGGGCAGUCGAGCCACGCCCGCGUGUCGGCUGUCUGCAAGAAUCCGCCCGCGUUUCUCACGUCUCCGAGGCACCCGUCCCUGACGGUGAACGCGGCCCACACAGCGAGCACGAGGGACUCUGCCGAGACACACAAGGAGGCCGCCGCGUACGACAGUGACGUGGAAGAAGACGAAAGGGAUCCGAAGAGCGCCGUGGCCGCGCGCACGCCUGUGGCGUCAACCGCGCGGCGGACACCGAGGCUGGAAUUCAUGCGCCCUUCCCGCACGGCGUCAUCGAUGUGCAUACUGGGCCGGCCGCGACGCACCAUGGGGCUGCACAGCGCGCCGGGAAAGGGGCGCCAAAACACGAAAGCCGCCCAGGCGGGUCGCGCCGACGGCGAGUCCAAGACGGGUGCCACGCCGUCAACAACCCGCAGGCUAUCCGCGAGGCAGAAGCCGCAGGCGGCAGCGGCGUCUGCUGUGACGGCCGCCAGCGGAAGGCGUGGCAACACUGCGGCUUUGAGGUCUGGCAGCUGCGGCUCUGCCAGAGGCUCGAGCAGUGUCGGCAGCGGCGGAGGGCGCGCUACUCGCUGCAGCGGCGCGAACCGUGCUUCUCUCGACACCACGGCCACCGCUUCCAUCGUCCCUACGAAGGAGACAGAUGACGAGGCACCGACGGCCGCGACGGAGUCGAACAGCCACGGCACCACUCGCGCCGACACGGGGACAACGAUGUCAGCGUCGCACCCAUCUGACCACGCGCUCGAUGGCGGCGAGCUUGUAGAGCCGCUCUCGGCGGUGUUUGUGGUCGCUGCCGCCGCCGCGCCAGCCGCCGCGCCGUCGCCGCCAACGACCACGCAGAAAAGCGCGCGGGACAGCGGCACGCAGCGCGGACGACUGCGAGACAGCAAGGCCAGCUCCAGCCGGGACGCUGACAAGGACCACGACGCUUCCCUCUCGUCGCCUCCACAGCAUCGGCACCGCAGACACGCUGGGGCAGAGGGUGAGACAGCCGUUUCGGCCCGCCCGCCGCACAAGGCAAGUGCACGGCAUGCACCGGGGCUUCCAGAAAACGAAGCGAGGCAUCCGGACGGCGGUGCCGCAGCAGGAACGACCGCGUUGGAGGGCGCUGACUCGCGCGCGCUGCUGCGACGACUUGCCCAGCAGAAAGACCGCACCCGGGCCAUUGAAGAGCGCCUGCGAUUCGGCGUCAACAGCACCGCCUUGGCGAACCCUAAUAGCGGCAGCCACAGUGCCCGCAGCGGCUGCGGCAGCGGUUUCGUGUGGAGUGACGGGCACAUCACAGGCAGAUGGGGACUGGAGUUGGAGAGCUGCACGCCGACGCGCGGCGCCGCGCGGGCGUGCAUGGCUGCCGACCUUGCUCGCCAGGACUUCAGCACACCGUCGAACAUGUACUCGGUGAGUGGAGCCACCGGAGACGCCACCUUGGACACUCCUGCGACUCGCGUCAGCACAGCUCGGCACGGCGGCGGUGCCGCGGCAGACGCCCCCCACGUGACGGUGGUCGACCCUGCUGAAGCCACGGCUGUUUACGGUGUGCACGCCGUUCAUUCCGGCGCAGGUGCCGGCGCGGCCGCAGCCGCACAGCAGACCUCAUCAAAUCCACGCCGGCGCCGCGUCGAUCUGCGCUCGCGCCUGGUGUCGAAGCUAACUGCCGUCUCGUCGUCUCUGUCAGCGAGCCCCGCGAAGCGGCACAAGGGCUGCACUGCAACCAUCACAACGGCCACCAACGCCACCGCUGCUGCAACGGCGGCCUCUACCCAAAGUUUCCGCCGCGCCGAGAGCGCCUACAGUAUACGCUCUCGCUCCCCCACGUACGUCACCAUAAUGCACCAUGCGGGCUACGGCGAUCGCCGCCGGCACAGCAUCAGCGGCGACGUGCUGCCACCCACUACGUUAUCCAUGCCCGAGCGCCAGCUGCGUUCUUCGCGGGCGCCGGUGGCCAGUCAGCUGAUCGACUGGGCUCGGGGAGGCGAAUAAGACGGCGUGUGCCGAGGAGGGGGAGGGGGCAUAUAUUCCAUGUAUGCGACGGCUGCUCCUCCUCUUCUCUGUGCACGUAUGGCUGCUUGCGAGUGCUGCGCGUUUCUGCCUUGCGCUCCGUCCGCUGGUUGGCCGUGACGCCGUUGCUCAAGUCGUCUGUGGCCCUCUUUCUUCUUUCUUGUUUGCCUUCUAGUAUGCCAGGCCUUUGCACGUGCUUGUGUCUUCAAUGGUGGGGCGGCUCCCUAACCACUCCCUCGUGAGAGCGCCGCCGCCGCCGCCGCCCCGCCCCUCCUCCCCUCUCUCUACCUCGCCUUCCAUUUCUCACACUCUCUCGUGACGCCUGCUCCGCUGGGCCAUCCGUUUCACCCGCCGCGGCCGCUGCACCGUUGCCGUUCCUCAGCCAAACCCUCUCUGCCACAAUGUGCCCAGUGAGCUCUUCCACCGCACCACACCCUCAGAGAGAGAGAGAGAGGCGAGCGACGUGCAUGUUUUGUGUGUGGGUGCGCGUGCUGGUCUGCGGGCACGUUGCGUGGCGCCCAAGCCCUUCACCAACCGUGCGUGGUUCCGCCAGCGACGGCUUUACCGCACGGACAGCGGCGAGAGCAGGGCAGAGCCGAGAAUAGAGACCUGCAGUGGAGGCGAGGCUGUCGUAGAAUUCAAUUUCAGACGUGUCUUUCCCCUCACCAACCCCUCUUUUUCCGCACAGGCGAAGUGACGCAGGCGCUGGCGGCACGUCGUUUGUGUGUGUGUGUGUGCACCGACACGCACGUGCACGCGUGCGCGCCUAGCCAGCACGCCGCUUCCCACAGCAGAGCAGACUCCGAUGUUCGAACUAUUCAACAGC
rnacentral:misc_RNA from 1 species